rnacentral:rRNA from 1 species
UACGUAGGGGGCAAGCGUUGUCCGGAAUUAUUGGGCGUAAAGAGCGUGUAGGCGGUCCGGUAAGUCAGCUGUGAAAGUCAAGGGCUCAACCCUUGAAAGCCGGUUGAUACUGUCGGGCUAGAGUGCGGGAGAGGCGAGUGGAAUUCCUGGUGUAGCGGUGAAAUGCGCAGAUAUCAGGAGGAACACCAAUUGCGAAGGCAGCUCGCUGGAACGUAACUGACGCUGAGACGCGAAAGCGUGGGGAGCAAACAGG